AUCCAUGGUGUGGGCAUUGUAGUAAGAGUGAUUUGAAGCGGUCUCAUGCUUCGUGAAAGGAUUCAGUAUCCUUUUAAUAAAAAUUAGAAAUCUUAGCCCUUAAUGCU
rnacentral:snoRNA from 1 species